AUUCAACGCCUGAAAUAUAAUUCCGUUGACUAAAUUAAGCUGCUUCACCUGUUUCUUCUUCUUCUUCUUCUUCUUUUCUCUCUCCCUCUUUCCCAAUGGACCCAUCUCCAGAUUGCUCUCCUCCCCCUUCUUUGACAUUUCCUCCUCUCUUUCCAAUUCAGUUGGGUAGAACAACAACAAAGACAUCAACAAGACUCGGUCAUCUCUCUGUGUUUCUCUUCCUAUCCCUUUUUGUGCUCCUGUCAUUGCAUGUGAUCAGAUCAAAGCAGUAUGGGGAAUUUUUGCGCUAGGCCAGCAAAGUGCGCCCAUGCUUCUUCCAACAACUUCCCUACCCCUCCUGGAAGUACAAAGCACACUAACAAGGAACAUCACAAUUUAGCAUCCUCCAACCAGGAUAGGCCAUUGGUGGGUACGAAAACUAAAGCUCUGAUAGAAACCAAUGUCGCUGAUACAUGUGUUCCUAGCACCCUUAAGUCCUUCAGUUUCAUUGAUCUGAAGAAUGCUACAAAAAACUUCCGCCCGGAUAGCCUACUUGGAGAAGGAGGGUUUGGGUGGGUCUUCAAAGGCUGGAUUGAUGCUACCACCUUAGCUCCCACUAGACCAGGGACUGGCUUGGUGGUGGCUAUCAAGAGGCUUAAGCAGGAAAGCUUUCAAGGUCACAAGGAAUGGCUGGCAGAAGUCAACUAUCUUGGUCAGUUUCACCAUGAAAAUCUCGUUAAACUAAUAGGCUACUGCUCAGAAUCUGACAAUAGACUUCUUGUUUACGAGUUUAUGCCUAAAGGAAGCUUGGAGAAUCAUUUGUUUAGGAAAGGUGUACAGCCUAUACCAUGGGCUAUGCGAAUGAGUGUUGCAGUUGAUGUUGCAAGGGGGUUGUCCUUUUUGCAUAGCUUAAAUGCUAAUGUUAUCUACCGUGACUUGAAGGCUUCCAACAUUCUACUUGAUUCAGAUUUCAGUGCAAAGCUAUCAGAUUUUGGCUUAGCAAGGGACGGUCCUACUGGAGACAACACUCAUGUUUCAACCAGAGUCGUGGGAACUCGAGGCUACGCUGCCCCAGAAUAUGUCGCUACAGGUCACUUGACACCGAAGAGUGAUGUGUACAGCUUCGGUGUAGUUCUGUUAGAGCUACUAUCAGGAAGACGAGCGAUGGAUGAUGAGAGAGCUAGGAGUGUGGAAGAAACACUGGUGGAUUGGGCAAAGCCAUUUUUGAGUGAUAGUAAACGAGUUCUAAGAAUCAUGGACACAAGAUUGGGGGGUCAAUACCCUAAAAAAGCCGCCCAAGCUGCAGCCGCACUUGCUUUACAGUGUCUUCAUACAGAUCCAAAGAAUAGGCCACUCAUGAUUGAUGUUCUAGCAACAUUGGAACGACUCCACUCAAAGGAAACACUACGAACUCAACAACCUAUGCUAGACCCUCGUGGGGUUACGCGUUCGAACCAUCUCUCAAGAUAACUGGUUCAAAUACAAACAUUGAGUGAAUUGUAUCAUUUGUAUGUGGUUUUCUAGUACAGGGAAAAAUUAUGUUCAGGUUGCUUUUGCCGCAUAAUUUAGCAAAACAAAAGUUUUCCUUCUAGAACUGCCCGGCAAGAAUUCUGUGUUCGAAACAAUUGCUGCAGCUACAUGUGUGAUAAAUGGAUCGGCUUGAGUCGAACUAGCACCCUACUGCUCUGCCAUCUCCGACACAAAAUGAGCAUCAGCCUGGACAUUUACAUGGCUAACGACAAUUUCACAGCCCCUCAAGACUUAUUAAUUUCUGUGCCAUUUUCAAUACAAGCCUCACAUCUCUGUCCGCAUGUUCCAACCCCUGUAACUCCACUCCAUCAAAUAAUGUUUUGUGGAUGUACAAGAAGUUUAAGUAUCUUGGCAAGGUAAGCUCCUCCAAACCGAUCAAACUCAUCGGUCUUUGACUCAGAAUACGACUGAGUAUCACUGAGGCCAUACUUCUGAGUUCUGACAACUGUCCCUGAAGAAAUUAUAUUUCUUCAUUACAUUCACAUUUUCCCAGUCCUCAUCUCUCCAUACGUUU